CCCAUGUUACUGUAUUUAGUUUCUCUCAUUGUGUUAUUUUGUUACAGCUUUCUUUAUUAUCAAAGCUUAGUUCACAUUUACGUGAGCCACUAAUUUUGCUCAAAGAAAAAGAAACUCUGCUGAAGAAUGGUGGAAUAUCCUAAACUUGGAUGGAUGAGGGGAAAAUGCCAAUGUCUGCUAAUGUGACACAUGAACUUGGGGUAGGAUAAAUCAAAUGGAGAACCAAAACUGGAAGUCCAAAUGUCCCUGCCAAAAUAUAUUACUGGAGAACCCGGAGAGAUUCACUCAAUUAACAUUUUUUAAUCCGUUAUCUUUUAUUUUGGGUAAUGUAUCACACAAAUGUCCUCUGAUUUGUUGAUAGAAGUGAAGAAAAUGACA